CCCUUAGACGUUCUGGGCCGCACGCGCGCUACACUGACCAGUGCAACAAGCAUCCGUCCUUGGCCGACAGGCCCGGGCAAUCUUUGAACGCUGGUCGUGAUGGGGAUAGACUUUUGCAAUUUUUGGUCUUCAACGAGGAAUUCCUAGUAAACGCAAGUCAUCAACUUGCAUUGAUUACGUCCCUGCCCUUUGUACACACCGCCCGUCGCACCUACCGAUUGAAUGGUCCGGUGAAGCCUCCGGAUUGGCGCGCACCUCGGUGCCGCCGAGAAGUUGGCAAAACCUUACCAUUUAGAGGAAGGUGAAGUCGUAACA
rnacentral:rRNA from 1 species